UCCCUGCACUCUUUGGUUCUUAUCCAAUAAGCCCUGGACUGUGCCGCAGGUUUAUAACAUUAUCCCCUUCCCCUCUUUACAAGCUGUCCCAGCGAGUGUAUAAAUAGGGUUUCAUCAUGCCCAUCCAUUGCAAUUGUUGUUUUGAACUUGACAUCGCAUGUCAUGUCCUUUCUCCACAUAAGAAAUGUUCGGAGUGUGUCCGUCAUGGUUGCCGUUGUGAAUGAGAGUUGGUUUCUGAAGAAGAGUGGUUGAAAUUGGAUUGUGCCAAGGAAAAGAUGAAAUUGGAUAUUCAAGCAAGUGAAGAUUCAGUGAGUGAACUGAGUGCUCGACUGGACAAACUAAGUAGUUCUCUGUUUGGGGCCAUUGCAAAAUUAAAACAAUUAAAAUGAAGUGUGGAUUUCCUUGAAGGUUGUGAGUCUAAAUUCUUGCAGAGAGAUUUAGAAGUUCUUGAAUCUCUUGAUAAGGAGAAAUCCUCUAAUUCUUCUGAUCCUUCUGUCCUGGAUGUCGCGGACUUCCUUGUUCCUUUUGACAAUAUCAUUUCUCUGGAUUUUCUUGGUCCUCCUGCAGUUUCUGCUGAAGAAACUGUUGAAUUGCAUCCUUUGCUUUCUCCAAAUGCUCCAUAGGUUCCCAGAUGUUUUCUGAGGUAUCAUAUUCUUUCCAUUUUACCAAAUAGUAUUCCUUGUUGCUAAUUCUCUGUCUUUCUAGUAUUGCUUCAACUUCAUAUUCUGGUUCUGUGGUGUUGAUUUCCAUUCUUUGCUGUUCCGCAUUUUCAGGUGCUUUUUCCAAUAAUGAAACAUGGAAAUUUGGGUGUAUAGGCAUGGUGUCCAGUAGUCGGAGUUUGUAAUUAACUGGUCCAGUCUUUUGUAGA
rnacentral:sRNA from 1 species